rnacentral:lncRNA from 1 species
UUUUUCAGAUCAGAAAUCAGAUUUGCCAUCAAAUUUUUUUAGAGGUAGAGGAUGUAAACCAAGGCUCUGAAAUAUCAUUAAGGGUUGCAGCUACAAGACAUUCAGUUUGAUCAGGACAAGAUUUUGUCAGAUGCAACUCCAACAAAAACUGUUCGACAAACAGAUGCAAGUUCAAGAAGGCAAUGAUAGUCUUUAAUUCUAAGUUCCCCUAAAGCAUUUCAUGCAAAAAUAAAUCAAAAUUUUAAUAACUGAGGUAUAAUUAUUGUUUUUAUAAAAAAACACUUAUAUUUUGUUAUAAUACGAUUUCUUGUAUUACCAAUUUAUUGUCCAUUAGUUUUAACGAAGGAUCAUUAUCGUUUUAAUAAAAGUGAUUAUUUUUACAAUUA